rnacentral:rRNA from 1 species
GAAUUUUGGUCAAUGCUCGAAAGAGUGAACUAGCUAACUGAAAUCAAUUUAAAAUAAUUGAUAACAUAAGGGAAAAUAAUGAUAUUACCUUAUUAUUAGUGUCGUCCAAAACUGGUGCCAGAAGACUCGGUAAGGCCAGAGACACAAACGUUAAUCGUCUUAAUCAGGCGUAAAGGGUUUGUAGGCGGCUUUAAAAUUUACUUAUAACAAAUAAAUUAUAACAUAUAAACAAAUAAAUUAUAACAUAUAACAAAUAAAUUAUAACAUAUAAACAAAUAAAUUAUAACAUAUAAAUAGAUAAAUAAUAACAUAUAACAAAUAAAUUAUAACAUAUAACCAAUAAAUAAUAACAUAUAACCAAUAAAUAAUAACAUAUAAAUAAAUAAAUUAUAACAUAUAAAUAAAUAAAUAAUAACAUAUAAUAAAUAAAUAAUAACAUAUAAUAAAUAAAUAAUAACAUAUAAACAAAUAAAUAAUAACAUAUAAAUAGAUAAAUAAAUAAUAACAUAUAAACAAAUAAACAAAUAAAUAAAUAAUAACAUAUAAACAAAUAAAUAAAUAAUAAGUAAAAAAUAAAAGCUAGAAUCAAAUAGAGGAUAUAUGAAAUAAUGCUUAGAGUAGGUCUGAUAUCCUUAGAUACUAAGUAGAAUAUUAAAGGCGAAAGCUUUUUUCCAUUAAUGAUUGACGCUCAGAAACGAAGGUGAGGAUAGGAAAUAGGAUUAGAUACCCAAAAUACCCCUCUCUGUAAACGAUGAAUGGUAGUUAUUAGUAAAAAUUAUUAAUGGCAAUGUUAACACGAUAACCAUUCCGCCUUGUGAGUACAACUGCAAAGUUGAAAACAAAAAAAUUAGUCGGUUUCGGAGCAACGAAGUGAAGCAUGUUAUUUA